rnacentral:rRNA from 1 species
CGAUGAACCACUUCGGUGGGGAUUAGUGGCGAACGGGUGAGUAACACGUGGGCAAUCUGCCCUGCACUCUGGGACAAGCCCUGGAAACGGGGUCUAAUACCGGAUACUGAUCCUCGCGGGCAUCUGCGAGGUUUGAAAGCUCCGGCGGUGCAGGAUGAGCCCGCGGCCUAUCAGCUUGUUGGUGAGGUAAUGGCUCACCAAGGCGACGACGGGUAGCCGGCCUGAGAGGGCGACCGGCCACACUGGGACUGAGACACGGCCCAGACUCCUACGGGAGGCAGCAGUGGGGAAUAUUGCACAAUGGGCGAAAGCCUGAUGCAGCGACGCCGCGUGAGGGAUGACGGCCUUCGGGUUGUAAACCUCUUUCAGCAGGGAAGAAGCGAAAGUGACGGUA